rnacentral:rRNA from 1 species
AUUGAACGCUGGCGGCAUGCCUUACACAUGCAAGUCGAACGGCAGCACGGGUGCUUGCACCUGGUGGCGAGUGGCGAACGGGUGAGUAAUACAUCGGAACGUACCUUAUCGUGGGGGAUAACGCAGCGAAAGCUGUGCUAAUACCGCAUACGCCCUGAGGGGGGAAAGCGGGGGAUCGCAAGACCUCGCGCGAUUAGAGCGGCCGAUGCCUGAUUAGCUAGUUGGUGGGGUAAAAGCCCACCAAGGCGACGAUCAGUAGCUGGUCUGAGAGGACGAUCAGCCACACUGGGACUGAGACACGGCCCAGACUCCUACGGGAGGCAGCAGUGGGGAAUUUUGGACAAUGGGGGCAACCCUGAUCCAGCAAUGCCGCGUGAGUGAAGAAGGCCUUCGGGUUGUAAAGCUCUUUUGUCAGGGAAGAAACACCGGCUCUAACACAGUCCGGGAAUGACGGUACCUGAAGAAUAAGCACCGGCUAACUACGUGCCAGCCGCCGCAGUAC